UUGUAGAGAGGGAAGAUGUUUCAGGUGAUCUGCUGGAGGACAAUGGUCAAUGGCAACUAAGGAAGACUCCUAGGGGCAAGCAAGCAAAAUUUAUUGAGAGUGAGGAUGUAUCGGAUGAUCUGCAGGAGGAUACUCAUUGGCAUCCAAGGAAGAGCUCUAGGCGCAAGCAAGCUGCAUCUAUCGAGAGGGAAGAUGUUUCAGAUGAUCUAGAGGAGGGGAACACUCGUUGGCAGCCAAAGAAGAC
rnacentral:misc_RNA from 1 species